rnacentral:lncRNA from 1 species
AUGACGUCCAUCAUCCAGCUGCUGGCCGGAUACCGUCCUGCCUCCCACCCAAGACCAGGAAGAAUUAACCUCUGCGGUGGGUCUCGCUCGCAUGACUUGGGGCGGCAUUUAGUCAGGACCGUUGAGGGGGAGGGGGAGGCCAGACAGGACUUGGGCAUCCACAGCAGGAUAAGGAAUAAGAUGCGCACCCCCCCCCCACGACUGGGGGGCAUCCACAUGGCGUGCUUUGCGGCUGGCCCGGGUAGGACCCGCCUGAGGAGUGAGGGGAGAAGGCACUACCUACAGCCUUGGGUGUGGGAGAAACCCCCUGCUGUCAUCCACACCUUUCACCCCCCCCCACUUCUCUGUCAUCCCCUAAAUCUCCGUGGCAAUGCCUUUAGAUCUCAAAGAAAGGUAAUCAGCUUUAUUUCAGCGUAUGUUCACAUUAAACGCUGGAGGGAACGUGGGGCAGAUGCUUAUCCCAGCUCACAAGCAGACACGGGCAUCACAGGGGCGGCCUCCGUGCGCUGCGAGAGGAGGAGGAGACGUGAUAAAGCCACCUGCUUCUUGGUUGCAAAGGACUGUUGCGUUUUCCUGUGUCAGAACCCGCUGGUCUGCUCUUGGAAAGAACCCAAGUUCUGUAGACCUGAGGACAACUCGGGAACGAUGCGGUGGGUUCAGCUGUCAUCUCCUGACUCCAGCUCCAGCAGCUUCAAGCAAACCGCAAGGGGGGAGGGCCAGCCACCGCGACUGGACGGGGCGGUCAGCCCGGUGCAGCCGGGGCCGCACGGCCGGGGCGCGGCGCUCGGCCGAGGCACAGGCAUGAACAACGACUUGUGGACAACAAGGAGGCAACCUGGAGGGUGGAAGAGAGGCAGCAUAAAAAGACGAAGGGUUUCGCCAGUGCACAAGGUCACCUUCGCAUCGCUUUGGUUCUUCCCAGUAGCUUGGAUCGAGUCGUUAACCGCCGUGUCUUCGCUCUCAUUCGACGGCAGAAAACCGUGGGAGCCGGCUGUGGUCCUACACCCUUGUCAGAGAGCGGCCCGGGUCCAAAAUCAGGGCAUCCCUGAAGAUCUGGAUAUGAGCGGACGUGCAACCAGCACAGUUCAAAGUGUUCUUUGCCGUGUGGACAAGAGGGGGAGGAGGGGAGGGGGCUGGCCGGCCGCCCCUGUGAUGAUAACCUCAUGUGCCAAAGCCGCCCGGUGCUGA